GGGCGCAUAGCUCAGUCGGCUAGAGCACCGUCGUCACAUGGCGGGGGUCACAGGUUCGAGUCCUGUUGCGCCCA
rnacentral:tRNA from 1 species